rnacentral:rRNA from 1 species
AUUGAACGCUGGCGGCAGGCUUAACACAUGCAAGUCGAGCGGAGAGGAGGUGCUUGCACCUUAUCUUAGCGGCGGAGGGGUGAGUAAUGCUUAGGAAUCUGCCUAUUAGUGGGGGACAACAGUCCGAAAGGAAUGCUAAUACCGCAGAAGAGCUACGGGGGAAAGCAGGGGAUCUUCGGACACGGCGCUAAUAGAUGAGCCUAAGUCGGAUUAGCUAGUUAGUGGGGUAAAGGCCUACCAAGGCGACGAUCUGUAGCGGGUCUGAGAGGAUGAUCCGCCACACUGGGACUGAGACACGGCCCAGACUCCUACGGGAGGCAGCAGUGGGGAAUAUUGGACAAUGGGCGGAAGCCUGAUCCAGCCAUGCCGCGUGUGUGAAGAAGGCCUUUUGGUUGUAAAGCACUUUAAGCGAGGAGGAGGCUACUUAGAUUAAUACUCUAGGAUAGUGGACGUUACUCGCGGAAUAAGCACCGGCUAACUCUGUGCCCGCCGCCGCGGUAAAAC